rnacentral:rRNA from 1 species
GCGUGCUUAACACAUGCAAGUCGAACGCUGAAGCUCCCAGCUUGCUGGGGGUGGAUGAGUGGCGAACGGGUGAGUAACACGUGAGUAACCUGCCCCGAACUCUGGGAUAAGCGCUGGAAACGGCGUCUAAUACUGGAUAUGUCCUAUCACCGCAUGGUGUGUAGGUGGAAAGAAUUUCGGUUCGGGAUGGACUCGCGGCCUAUCAGCUAGAUGGUGAGGUAAUGGCUCACCAUGGCGACGACGGGUAGCCGGCCUGAGAGGGUGACCGGCCACACUGGGACUGAGACACGGCCCAGACUCCUACGGGAGGCAGCAGUGGGGAAUAUUGCACAAUGGGCGCAAGCCUGAUGCAGCAACGCCGCGUGAGGGAUGACGGCCUUCGGGUUGUAAACCUCUUUUAGUAGGGAAGAAGCGAAAGUGACGGUACCUGCAGAAAAAGCACCGGCUAACUACGUGCCAGCAGCCGCGGUAAUACGUAGGGUGCAAGCGUUGUCCGGAAUUAUUGGGCGUAAAGAGCUCGUAGGCGGCUUGUCGCGUCUGCUGUGAAAACCAGAGGCUCAACCUCUGGCCUGCAGUGGGUACGGGCAAGCUAGAGUGCGGUAGGGGAGAUUGGAAUUCCUGGUGUAGCGGUGGAAUGCGCAGAUAUCAGGAGGAACACCGAUGGCGAAGGCAGAUCUCUGGGCCGUAACUGACGCUGAGGAGCGAAAGCAUGGGGAGCGAACAGGAUUAGAUACCCUGGUAGUCCAUGCCGUAAACGUUGGGAACUAGAUGUAGGGCCUGUUCCACGGGUUCUGUGUCGUAGCUAACGCAUUAAGUUCCCCGCCUGGGGAGUACGGCCGCAAGGCUAAAACUCAAAGGAAUUGACGGGGGCCCGCACAAGCGGCGGAGCAUGCGGAUUAAUUCGAUGCAACGCGAAGAACCUUACCAAGGCUUGACAUAUACGAGAACACUGUAGAGAUACAGGA